GAUGAACGCUAGCUACAGGCUUAACACAUGCAAGUCGAGGGGAAACGGCAUUGAGUGCUUGCACUCUUUGGACGUCGACCGGCGCACGGGUGAGUAACGCGUAUCCAACCUUCCCAUUACUGUGGGAUAACCUGCCGAAAGGUAGACUAAUACCGCAUAGUCUUCGAUGACGGCAUCAGAUUUGAAGUAAAGAUUUAUCGGUAAUGGAUGGGGAUGCGUCUGAUUAGCUUGUUGGCGGGGUAACGGCCCACCAAGGCGACGAUCAGUAGGGGUUCUGAGAGGAAGGUCCCCCACAUUGGAACUGAGACACGGUCCAAACUCCUACGGGAGGCAGCAGUGAGGAAUAUUGGUCAAUGGACGGAAGUCUGAACCAGCCAAGUAGCGUGCAGGAUGACGGCCCUAUGGGUUGUAAACUGCUUUUGUAUGGGGAUAAAGUUAGGGACGUGUCCCUAUUUGCAGGUACCAUACGAAUAAGGACCGGCUAAUUCCGUGCCAGCAGCCGCGGUAAUACGGAAGGUCCAGGCGUUAUCCGGAUUUAUUGGGUUUAAAGGGAGCGUAGGCUGGAGAUUAAGUGUGUUGUGAAAUGUAGACGCUCAACGUCUGACUUGCAGCGCAUACUGGUUUCCUUGAGUACGCACAACGUUGGCGGAAUUCGUCGUGUAGCGGUGAAAUGCUUAGAUAUGACGAAGAACUCCGAUUGCGAAGGCAGCUGACGGGAGCGCAACUGACGCUUAAGCUCGAAGGUGCGGGUGUCAAACAUG
rnacentral:rRNA from 1 species